AGAGUUUGAUCCUGGCUCAGGACGAACGCUGGCGGCGCGCUUAACACAUGCAAGUCGAGCGACGAAAGGACCUUCGGGUCCCUGAAAGCGGCGAACGGGUGAGUAACACGUGGGUAACCUACCCUCGGUACCGGGAUAGCUCGGGGAAACUCGGAUUAAUACCGGAUAGCCUCUCUGGUCUGAGGACUGGCGAGAAAAGGUAGCUUCGGCUUCCGACUGAGGACGGGCCCGCGGCCGAUUAGCUUGUUGGUGAGGUAACGGCUCACCAAGGCUACGAUCGGUAGCUGGUCUGAGAGGACGAUCAGCCACACUGGGACUGAGACACGGCCCAGACUCCUACGGGAGGCAGCAGUGGGGAAUCUUGCGCAAUGGGCGAAAGCCUGACGCAGCGACGCCGCGUGCGGGAAGAAGGCCUUCGGGUUGUAAACCGCUUUCAGGAGGGACGAAGCCACUCGGGUGAAUAGCCCAGAGGGUGACGGUACCUCCAGAAGAAGCC
rnacentral:rRNA from 1 species